GAUUUCUGGCUCGGGACGCCUGGCCCGCCUCGAAAGAGUGUGUGUUUGUCGGUGCUGCCCGGCCAUCCUUCUGGAAAACGCCUCUGCCCUUAACUGGGUUGGGGGCGCGAUCCAGAUCGUUUACUUUGAAAAAAUUAGAGUGUUCAAAGCAGGCUUUACGCUGUGAAUACAUUAGCAUGGAAUAAUAAGAUAGGGCUUUGGUACUAUUUUGUUGGUUUCUAGGACCAAAGUAAUGAUUGAUAGGGACAGUUGGGGGUGCUAGUAUUCAAUGGCCAGAGGUGAAAUUCUCGGAUUCAUUGAAGACUAACAAAUGCGAAAGCAUU
rnacentral:rRNA from 1 species